rnacentral:rRNA from 1 species
GAUGAACGCUAGCUACAGGCUUAACACAUGCAAGUCGAGGGGAAACGAGAGAGAAGCUUGCUUUUCUUGUCGUCGACCGGCGCACGGGUGAGUAACGCGUAUCCAACCUGCCCCUGGCUAAGGGAUAACCCGUAGAAAUGCGGCCUAAUACCUUAUGAUCUCCGAAGAAGACAUCUGACUUGGAGUAAAGAUUUAUCGGCGAGGGAUGGGGAUGCGUCUGAUUAGGCAGUCGGCGGGGUAACGGCCCACCGAGCCGACGAUCAGUAGGGGUUCUGAGAGGAAGGUCCCCCACAUUGGAACUGAGACACGGCCCAG